rnacentral:rRNA from 1 species
UUGACGGAUGAUUUCUUCGGAAUGAAACCAGAUAUGACUUAGUGGCGGACGGGUGAGUAACACGUGAGCAACCUGCCUUUCAGAGGGGGAUAACGGCUGGAAACGGUCGCUAAUACCGCAUAAGACCACGGUACCGCAUGGUACAGUGGUAAAAACUCCGGUGGUAUGAGAUGGACCCGCGUCUGAUUAGGUAGUUGGUGGGGUAACGGCCUACCAAGCCGACGAUCAGUAGCCGACCUGAGAGGGUGACCGGCCACAUUGGGACUGAGACACGGCCCAGACUCC